rnacentral:rRNA from 1 species
UACAGAGGUCUCAAGCGUUGUUCGGAUUCAUUGGGCGUAAAGGGUGCGCAGGCGGCGCCGCAAGUCAGGUGUGAAAGCCUGGAGCUUAACUCCAGAAGUGCACUUGAUACUGCGGUGCUAGAGGACUGGAGAGGAGACUGGAAUUCACGGUGUAGCAGUGAAAUGCGUAGAUAUCGUGAGGAAGGCCAGUGGCGAAGGCGGGUCUCUGGACAGUUCCUGACGCUCAGGCACGAAGGCUAGGGGAGCAAACGGG